rnacentral:lncRNA from 1 species
CUCCUCCUAUUCCGGCGAAGGUCGCCACCGCUUCGACCACCACCACCAGGCGCCUCUCCUUUUCUCCUUCUAAAACUCUCUCUCGCGAUCUUCAAUACGCGCACACACAAAGAGAUACCGUCCCACCAUUCUUCUUAAAUCCUCCGCCACCGCCCCCUUUAUAUUCCCGCCGGGCCGCCGCCGUCAGCCUUGUCGUCUCUCGUCUCUUGUUCUCUGACUCGCGUUACAAUAUCUCUUUGAAACUUUGGAUCCCCAAAUCUGCCACUGCCUCUUUCCUCAAUUUCCAGUGACGGCCUCCACCUCUUCCCUCGAUUUCCAGCGACUGAUUUCUCCUUCAAUUUCAACGAAGGCCACCACCUUUACUCUCUCACGGUCAGAAAAAUAACAAUGGCGAGUGAAGCCGCCGUCGGUGCUGUCGGCCAACA